rnacentral:rRNA from 1 species
UCAGGGACAAGCCCUGGAAACGGGGUCUAAUACCGGAUACUGAUCCGUCUGGGCAUCCAGACGGUUCGAAAGCUCCGGCGGUGCAGGAUGAGCCCGCGGCCUAUCAGCUUGUUGGUGAGGUAGUGGCUCACCAAGGCGACGACGGGUAGCCGGCCUGAGAGGGCGACCGGCCACACUGGGACUGAGACACGGCCCAGACUCCUACGGGAGGCAGCAGUGGGGAAUAUUGCACAAUGGGCGAAAGCCUGAUGCAGCGACGCCGCGUGAGGGAUGACGGCCUUCGGGUUGUAAACCUCUUUCAGCAGGGAAGAAGCGAAAGUGACGGUACCUGCAGAAGAAGCGCCGGCUAACUACGUGCCAGCAGCCGCGGUAAUACGUAGGGCGCGAGCGUUGUCCGGAAUUAUUGGGCGUAAAGAGCUCGUAGGCGGCUUGUCACGUCGGUUGUGAAAGCCCGGGGCUUAACCCCGGGUCUGCAGUCGAUACGGGCAGGCUAGAGUUCGGUAGGGGAGAUCGGAAUUCCUGGUGUAGCGGUGAAAUGCGCAGAUAUCAGGAGGAACACCGGUGGCGAAGGCGGAUCUCUGGGCCGAUACUGACGCUGAGGAGCGAAAGCGUGGGGAGCGAACAGGAUUAGAUACCCUGGUAGUCCACGCCGUAAACGGUGGGCACUAGGUGUGGGCAACAUUCCACGUUGUCCGUGCCGCAGCUAACGCAUUAAGUGCCCCGCCUGG